rnacentral:rRNA from 1 species
ACUAUUGUCACGGGUUACCGCGGCUGCUGGCACGGAGUUAGCCGGUGCUUCUUCUGUGAGUGAUGUCCUUCCUGCCGGCUAUUAACCCGCAGGCCUUCGUUCCUCACUGAAAGUGCUUUACAACCCGAAGGCCUUCUUCACACACGCGGCAUGGCUGGAUCAGGGUUGCCCCCAUUGUCCAAUAUUCCCCACUGCUGACCUACCCGUAAGGAGUUCUGGGCCGUGUCUCAGGUCCCAGUGUGGCUGAUCAUCCUCUCAGACCAGCUACGGAUCGUCGCCUUGGUGAGCCGUUACCUCCACCAACCAGCUAAUCCG